GAGUUUGUAUAGCUCCAGGACGUGCGUUUCAACGGCGGUGGUUGCACAUCUUCUCUCUCUGUCCCCGCCUUCUAGGGUGGUGGGCGGCGAGAGUAAGCGUCGAGGCAAGGGUGGACUCGGGUCGGCCAGCCACCGACGGCCGUCGUUGGACGACGAUGAAGGCAACGAGGAGGAGGGAGGGGAGGGUGAGGGAGAGUCGGGGUCGAGCUCGCUCUCUCGUAGAGGGAGGGCUCGCUGGCGCAGGCGGAGGGAGGGGACGGGGGGCACGCCAAGAACCACUGCCGCGCCGCCGAACCGACCGGCCGGAGCGGAGGUCAACUGGGCUGACUGAGAGGGGGUAAGCCAGUCGGGCCUCCUCCUCCUCCUCCGCCUCCCCUAAACGAACUGAAAAACUUCGAAGAGCGAGCAAAGAGAGGAUCGCAACGCCGACGGCCGGUUGCCGGAGCGCCUAAAAAGAGGUCAGAGUGGGGGAGGAAGUUCACCGCCGCCUCUAGUCGACCUAGGUUUUCGGAGCGGUCUUUGGCCGACCCUGAGAUCCCAACCGACGAGUCGAGUCAACAGAAGCCGCCGACGAGGAGGACUAGGGAGGGCAACGGCGACCGGUCGAGAGAGACCGAAACGACUGAACUGGGCCCUGCCCCCUUUCUCCUCGUCUCAAGCGGACACCUAGAAGCCCUUUCCUUCGAGUAAGUAGGACAGUCGACCCUCCAUCUCCUUCUCUACCCCUUGACGUACUUCAGGUGCCGGGCCCACCUAGUGUCGUACUUGUGAUCACGGCGGAUAGGUAGCUUUCACUGGUCGUUUUGUUCGUACAGUAGACGAUGAAGACGCUCGUUCUGGUUGAGUUGAGCAAGUUGCAAAUGAGACGGUAGAUAUUCUCUAGCGUCACUCGGAGGGGCCUGUCUUCCACUUUAGAACAGUAGCAGCUUGAACUUCCGGAAGAACAAGUUACUAGAAUUUUUACGCUGGUUCUUAAAGGCGGGCCUGUCAGAAGAACCCCUUCCUCCCAAACCCGUACAAAAGUUUCCAACCUAACUACUUGUGUGAGAACGAGGAAGCUUUGGCCCUUCGCCAUACCAACAACGACAGUUCUUCGAAUUUGGUCUUCCAAAGGUUCCCGUGUUCCUUACCGACUGCCUCCAAUUGAUGGAACCGGUUGAAGUGGUACGGUUAGAACAAUUCGAGUAACCAAUAACGAGACUACCACUAUUGUCUGAAGACCACAUACUCAAGUACGGGUUCCCUUCAAACCUCUUAGUAGACAAGUCUUCUCCACGACUAGGAAACAGUACCCCUUAUUCCGAAUUCCAACGAUAGCCCCGACGAUUCCCAAACAGUAAAAAUGUAGUACGACUUUUGGUUCAAUAUAUAGCACUAAAGUUCCGUAGUUUGUAAGAAGAACUGAGCCUUAAGUUGCGCUUCGAAAGUCUAAAACCUAAUCGCUUUCGACCAGGUUGACCCCUAUUUUGAGUACAAAGGUGUGUUCACUACCCGUGGGUACCUAUACGACGAGGUCUCAUAUAGCGUUGUCCAGCGGAGAGACGAUUCCGUCUGCAGAUGUCGAAGCCCCACCACAACGAACUCAACGACUGGCCCUCUGCUCGGGACCUGUUCAGUUUCGGUCCGUAUCUCGUCUUGGAUCACCUGACCCGGUUUGGCGUGGACGCACUGUUCGCGUCCGACAUGGCACAGUACCUGUGCUUCGACCCUCCGGUCAUAGGAUUCUUUCCGCGUGUACGGCAGCGCUUGGAGCGGAACGUUACGUAGACGUUGCUGCGGUUCUACGCCGGCGUCUAGAGUCUCCAGAAUCUUCUCGACCUCGUCGAGGUUCUGAGAUUUUCGUUAAAUUACAGCGGCGUCCAACUGUAGGCCUCCUGGAGGUUAUGGCAGGGUUUCAGCGGUUACUCCCCGGUUGGGAGCGGCGCCGCGAGAGAACCUCGCUACCGCGGCGGCAGUGGCCGUAAAUCCUGGCGCGUUCACGUGAUCUUCGUGUGGAAUCUUCCCCCUCUCUCUACAUAGGCAUGCCGACAUGUAAACCACCACUCGACACAUUAUCAACAAAGAUCACUACGAAGAACGAGUAAACAUCCCAAACCGUGCCUUAUACUGAUGCCGUGAGACUACUUAACAAAAAGUGGUUUAGACACUCCACACGGAGUGACCCAAGACAAGACCAGGUAAGAGUAGCGCCACGGCCCAAAUAGAAGACGUCUGUACUAUGACCUACUAGGGAACAACUGUACUGUCUUUGACACCUGACCCUCGUACAGGUCCGAAGUAACCAAUGGUUUAAGCAGCGGGUUAACACGAGCUAUUCUUUGACCGUACAAUAGUCUAUCCCAGAACUACAAAAAACAGUGUCGACGUAUAAGGAGUCCGUUAACGUUAAGGAAACAGGUCUAUCCCUAAUUAUAUACAUUGUAUGUCCUUUCCUGAGGGG
rnacentral:rRNA from 1 species